GUCAUACUUCCAAGAAAAGCUUGCACUGUCAUAGAUAAAAAACGCCUGUACCAUAACCGACACAGGUGGGUAGGUAGAGUAUACUAAGGGGCGCGAGAUAACUCUCUCUAAGGAACUCGGCAAAAUAACUCCGUAACUUCGGGAGAAGGAGUGCCUUAUUCGUAAGGUUGCAAUAACAAGAUCCAAGCAACUGUUUAUCAAAAACACAGGUCUCCGCUAAGUCGUAAGACGAUGUAUGGGGGCUGACGCCUGCCCAGUGCCAGAAGGUUAAAGAAGUUGGUUAGCAAUUGCGAAGCUGAUAACUGAAGCCCUGGUGAACGGCGGCCGUAACGAUAACGGUCCUAAGGUAGCGAAAUUCCUUGUCGGGUAAGUUCCGACCCGCACGAAAGGCGUAAUGAUUUGGAUACUGUCUCGGAGAGGGGCUCGGUGAAAUAGACUUGUCUGUGAAGAUGCGGACUACCUGCACCAGGACAGAAAGACCCUAUGAAGCUUUACUGUAACUUGAAAUUGAAAUUGGACUUUAUUCGCGCAGUAUAGGUGGGAGGCGUUGAUUAUAAUCUUGUGGGAUUAUUGGAGCCAUCAGUGAGAUACCACUCUUGUAAUGUUAGAUUUCUAACUUUGAAUCAUUAUCUGGUCAAAGAACAGUUUCAGGCGGGCAGUUUGACUGGGGCGGUCGCCUCCUAAACGGUAACGGAGGCGUACAAAGGUUUCCUCUGAACGGUUAGAAAUCGUAUCUAGAGUGUAAAGGCAUAAGGAAGCUUGACUGUGAGACCUACAAGUCGAGCAGGGACGAAAGUCGGUCUUAGUGAUCUGACGGUACUGAGUGGAAAGGCCGUCACUCAACGGAUAAAAGUUACUCUAGGAUAACAGGCUGAUCUCCCCCAAGAGUUCACAUCGACGGGGAGGUUGGCACCUCGAUGUCGGCUCAUCGCAUCCUGGGGCGGUAGUACGUCCCAAGGGUUGGGCUGUUCGCCCAUGAAAGCGGUACGCGAGCUGGGUUCAGAACGUCGUGAGACAGUUCGGUCCAUAUCCGGUGUAGGCGUUAGAAUAUUGAGAGGAGCCUUCUUUAGUACGAGAGGACCGAGAAGGACAUACCUCUGGUGUACCAGUUAUCGUGCCAACGGUAAACGCUGGGUAGCUAUGUAUGGAGUGGAUAACCGCUGAAAGCAUCUAAGUGGGAAGCCCACCUCAAGAUAAGUAUUCUCAGC
rnacentral:rRNA from 1 species